CUGCUCUUCGGUCGGGUGUUGACCGAAUUGGCCAAUUCGGCUUCACGAGCAAAAGAUCGACGCCAGCAAGCUGCUUCUUCGUCCGCGCGCCUUCAGCCCGUCUGCAAGAGCAUUUCCAGCCCAAUCCCCAGCGAUUUGGGCCCGAUUCAGCAGACCCAAUUGAAUUCAUCCCACGGCCAGCAGCUUCUUUGGGCCGUAUCUUCAGCCCAUCUGCUCCUGCAUUUCAGUUUCGGCCAAUCUUCCUUCAAGCCAGCCCAAGAAUUUCAACAGGCCCAAGCCCAGAAGUUUCGGCGGGCUUGCUAAG
rnacentral:lncRNA from 1 species